UACGUAGGGUGCGAGCGUUAAUCGGAAUUACUGGGCGUAAAGCGUGCGCGGGCGGCUUUGCAAGACAGAUGUGAAAUCCCCGGGCUCAACCUGGGAAGUGCAUUUGUGACUGCAAGGCUAGAGUACGGCAGAGGGGGAUGGAAUCCCGCGUGUAGCAGUGAAAUGCGUAGAUAUGCGGAGGAACACCAAUGGCGAAGGCAAUCCC
rnacentral:rRNA from 1 species